rnacentral:rRNA from 1 species
UACGUAGGGUGCAAGCGUUAUUCGGAUUUACUGGGCGUAAAGAGCGUGUAGGUGGUAAUUUAAGUCAUGCAAUAAAUCUCAAGGCUCAACCUUGAACCUUUGCGUGAAACUAGAUUACUUGAGGAUGUCAGAGACAAGCGGAACACCUGGUGUAGGGGUAAAAUCCGUUGAUAUCAGGUGGAACACCAAUGGCGAAGGCAGCUUGUUGGGGCAUUCCUGACACUAAGACGCGAAAGCGUGGGUAGCAAACGGGAUUAGAUACCCCUGUA